UACGUAGGGACCAAGCGUUGUUCGGAUUUACUGGGCGUAAAGGGCGCGUAGGCGGCAAAUUAAGUCAGCUGUGAAAUCUCCGAGCUUAACUCGGAACUGUCAGCUGAUACUGAUGUGCUAGAGUGCGGAAGGGGCAAUCGGAAUUCUUGGUGUAGCGGUGAAAUGCGUAGAUAUCAAGAGGAACACCUGAGGUGAAGACGGGUUGCUGGGCCGACACUGACGCUGAGUGCGCGAAAGCCAGGGGAGCAAACGGGG
rnacentral:rRNA from 1 species